AUGGCCAUAUCAUAUUCAAACACUAGUUUACAUACAAUCACUGAAGUUAAGCAACAUUAUGUGUGAUCAGUAUCUAGAUGGGUGACUGUCUGGGAAUACCAGGUGCUGUAA